AUGAAUUAUGCCCUUUCCCAGUACAAACUGGGACCCCCAACCCCUCCCCAGUAUGAACUGGGCCCAUUCCCAGUACAAACUGGGACCCCCAGCCCCUUCCCAGUACAAACUGGGCCCAUUCCCAGUACAAACUGGGCCCCCCAGCCCCAUCCCAGUACAAACUGCGCCCAUUCCCAGCACAAACUGGGACCCCCAGCCCUUCCCCAGUAUGAACUGGGAUCCCCAGACCCUUCCCAGUAUGAACUGGGCCCAUUCCACUGCAAACUGGGAACUUUCCCAGUACAAACCAGGGCUCCCAGCUCCAACCCAGCUCAAACUGGGAUUGUCCCCAGCUCAAACUGGGACCCCCAGCCCUUUCCCAGUAUGAAUUGGGCCCAUCCCAGUUCGAACUGGGCCCCCCAGCCCCAUCCCAGUACAAACUGGGCCCAUUCCCAGUACAAACUGGGCCCCCCAGCCCCUUCCCAGUAUGAAUUAUGCCCUUUCCCAGUACAAACUGGGCCCCCCAGCCCCUUCCCAGUACUAACUGGGCCCAUUCCCAGUACAAACUGGGACCCUCAGCCCUUUCCCAGUACACACUGAGCACUGUCCCAGUGUAAACGGGAACCCUCAGCCCCAGUACAGAUUGGAAUUCCCAGUCCUGUCCCAGUAGAAACUGGGCCCAUUCCUAGUCUGAACUGGGAUUCCCAGCCCAGUCCCUUCCCAGCCCAAACUGGGCACCCCCAGCCCCAUCCCAGUAUGAACUGGGCCCAGUCCCAGUAUGAAACAAGAUCCCCAUCCCCAUUCCAGUCCAAACUGGGACCCCCAGCCCCUUCCCAGUAUAAACUGGGACCCUCAACCCCAGCCCAGUACGGACUGGGCCCAUUCCCAGUACAAACUGGGCCCAUUCCCAGUACAAACUGGGACCCCCAGCCCCUUCCCAGUAUGAACUGGGACCCUCAGCCCCAGCCCAGUACGGACUGGGCCCUUUCCCAGUACAAACUGGGCCCAUUCCCAGUACAAACUGGGCCCCCCAGCCCCUUCCCGGUACAAACUGGGCCCAUUCCCAGUACAAACUGGGACCCCCAGCCCCUUCCCAGUACAAACUGUGCCCAUUCCCAGUACAAACUGGGACCCCCAGCCCCAUCCCAGUAUGAACUGGGCCCAAUCACAGUAUGAAAAAGGAUCCCCAGCCUCAUUCCAGUAUAAACUGGGACAAGUCCCAAUGUGAACUGGGCUCCCCAGCCCCUCCCCAGUAUGAACUCGGAUCCCCAGACCCUUCCCAGUAUGAACUGGGCCCAUCCCACUACAAACUGGGAGCCUUCCCAGUACAAAAUGGAAUCACAAGCCCCAUCCCAGUAUGAACUGGGCCCAUUCCCAAUAUGAACUGGUCCCCCAAGACUCAUCCCGACUCAAACUGGGCCCAUUCCCAGUACAAACUGGUACCCCCAGCCCCUUCCCAGUAUAAACUGGAAUCCUCAGCCCCAGCCCAGUAAGAACCGAUCCCAUUCCCAGUACAAACUGGGACACUUCCCAGUACAAACUGGGCACCCACAGCCCCUUACCAGAACAAACUGGACACAUUCCCAGUAUAAACUGGGCA
rnacentral:lncRNA from 1 species